rnacentral:misc_RNA from 1 species
GAUGAAGAACGCAGCGAAAUGCGAUACGUAAUGUGAAUUGCAGAAUUCAGUGAAUCAUCGAAUCUUUGAACGCAUAUUGCGCUCUUUGGCAUUCCGAAGAGCAUGCUUGUUUGAGUAUCAGUAAACACCUCAACCUCUUCUUGAUUUUUCAAAAGGAGGGUGGACUUGAGCUAUCCCAACAACCUUUACCGGUCGGCGGGCGGCUUGAAAUGCAGGUGCAGCUGGACUUUUAUCUGAGCUAAAAGCAUAUCUAUUUAGUCCUCGUCAAACAGGAUUAUUACUUUUGCUGCAGCUAACAUAAAGGAUAAUUGUCCUCUUUGCUGACUGAUGCAGGAUUUUACGACACUUUAUGUGUUGUUCAACUCGAUCUCAAAUCAAGUAAGACUACCCGCUGAACUUAAGCAUAUCAAUAAGCGGAGGA